rnacentral:tRNA from 1 species
GGGUCGGUAGAGCAGCGGACUUUUAAUCCGUUGGUCGAAGGUUCGAAUCCUUCACGACCCACCA